rnacentral:rRNA from 1 species
UACGUAGGCAGCGAGCGUUGUUCGGGGUUACUGGGCGUAAAGAGUGCGUAGGCGGUUUUCUAAGUUUGGUGUGAAAUCUCCCGGCUCAACUGGGAGGGUGCGCCGAAGAUUGGAAGGCUUGAGUAUGGGAGAGGUAAGCGGAAUUCCUGGUGUAGCGGUGAAAUGCGUAGAUAUCAGGAGGAACACCUGCGGUGUAGACGGCUUACUGGACCAUAACUGACGCUGAGGCACGAAAGCGUGGGUAGCAAACAGG